UGGUGGAGUGAUUUGUCUGGUUAAUUCCGAUAACGAGCGAGACCUCAGUCUAUUAAUUAGCUGUGUGAAUUAGUAAUUCAUACUAACAGCUUCUUAGAGAGACUAUCGGUGAGUAGCCGAUGGAAGUUUGAGGCAAUAACA
rnacentral:rRNA from 1 species